UGGAUGAGUGGCGAACGGGUGAGUAACACGUGAGUACCUGCCCUCUUCUUGGGUACGCCCGGAAACGGGUGCUAAUACUGGAUAUUCACUGAUCUUCGCAUGGGGGUUGGUGGAAAGGUUUUUUCUGGUGGGGGAUGGGCUCGCGGCCUAUCAGCUUGUUGGUGGGGUGAUGGCCUACCAAGGCUUUGACGGGUAGCCGGCCUGAGAGGGUGACCGGUCACAUUGGGACUGAGAUACGGCCCAG
rnacentral:rRNA from 1 species